ACGAACGCUGGCGGCGUGCUUAACACAUGCAAGUCGAACGGAAAGGCCCUGCUUUUGUGGGGUGCUCGAGUGGCGAACGGGUGAGUAACACGUGAGUAACCUGCCCUUGACUUUGGGAUAACUUCAGGAAACUGGGGCUAAUACCGGAUAGGAGCUCCUGCUGCAUGGUGGGGGUUGGAAAGUUUCGGCGGUUGGGGAUGGACUCGCGGCUUAUCAGCUUGUUGGUGGGGUAGUGGCUUACCAAGGCUUUGACGGGUAGCCGGCCUGAGAGGGUGACCGGCCACAUUGGGACUGAGAUACGGCCCAGACUCCUACGGGAGGCAGCAGUGGGGAAUAUUGCACAAUGGGCGGAAGCCUGAUGCAGCAACGCCGCGUGCGGGAUGACGGCCUUCGGGUUGUAAACCGCUUUCGCCUGUGACGAAGCGUGAGUGACGGUAAUGGGUAAAGAAGCACCGGCUAACUACGAG
rnacentral:rRNA from 1 species